GGGCCCGCACAAGCGGUGGAGCAUGUGGUUUAAUUCGAUGAUACGCGAGGAACCUUACCUGGGCUUAAAUGUAGAGUGCUUUAGAUGGAAACAUCUUUUUCUUCGGACGCUCUACAAGGUGCUGCAUGGCUGUCGUCAGCUCGUGCUGUGAGGUGUCGGGUUAAGUCCCAUAACGAGCGCAACCCCUAUCUUUAGUUGCUAACAGGUCAAGCUGAGGACUCUAGAGAGACUGCCGGUGCAAACCGUGAGGAAGGUGGGGAUGACGUCAAGUCAGCACGGCCCUUACGUCCAGGGCUACACACGUGCUACAAUGGCCGGUACAGAGGGCAGCUACAUAGCGAUAUGAUGCAAAUCUCUAAAGCCGGUCUCAGUUCGGAUCGGAGUCUGAAACUCGACUCCGUGAAGCUGGAAUC
rnacentral:rRNA from 1 species